rnacentral:rRNA from 1 species
UACAGAGGUCUCAAGCGUUAUUCGGAAUUAUUGGGCGUAAAGGGCGCGUAGGCGGCUUUGCAAGUGGCGGGUGAAAUCCCUCGGCUUAACCGAGGAACUGCCUGUCAAACUGCAUGGCUUGAGACCGGGAGAGGUGAGUGGAAUUCCAGUGUAGCGGUGAAAUGCGUAGAUAUUGGGAGGAACACCAGUGGCGAAGGCGGCUCACUGGACCGGUACUGACGCUGAUGCGCGAAAGCGUGGG